GGCUCAGUGAUUACAUGCCUGAUUUAUGGGCAAUAUACGCUAUUCCGAUUGAAUACAUGAGCAGAGGAUUUUUGAGAAUGAAUGAGAGCU